UACGUAGGGCGCAAGCGUUGUCCGGAAUUAUUGGGCGUAAAGAGCUCGUAGGCGGUUUUGUCGCGUCUGCUGUGAAAAGCCCCGGGGCUCAACCCCGGGUCUGCAGUGGGUACGGGCAGACUAGAGUGCAGUAGGGGGAGACUGGAAUUCCUGGUGUAGCGGUGAAAUGCGCAGAUAUCAGGAGGAACACCGAUGGCGAAGGCAGGUCUCUGGGCUGUUACUGACGCUGAGGAGCGAAAAGCAUGGGGGAGCGAACAGGAUUAGAUACCCGUGUC
rnacentral:rRNA from 1 species